UAUAAAUAAUAAAAGGUAGGAAUGGCUGGAAAAAGCUGGUCUUACAGUUUAUUGUCACUGCUGACCUCUCAUUUGUCCUGCAGCUUGUAGUUGCUAUCAUGGCCUGCUGCAACCAUGCAACAGGUGUAAUCUGACCACAGUAAACAAGCAGCAUAGCUACAGAGUCUCAUUGUCUGGGUUAGUUUGCUCAGCAACUCAGAAAAACACCAACACCAAAGCAUCUCAGGACUUUUUCUUUCUCAUAAAUCUAAGUGAAAUUUAAAAAACCAAAACAUGCCAUCUCACAUUAUGCUCCCCUAUCAGUGGGAUGAUCAGCCUCUUGUCAAGAAGAUAUACGACCACCUGAAAGAUGACGGGCUCCCGGUGUGGAUGGACAUCGAAGGAGGGGUGACGGGCAACAUCAACGACGCCAUGGCUGCAGGAGUGGAGGAGGCUGCUGUGAUUUGUCCGUUUAUGACUCCGGCUUACCAGGCAUCACGCAGCUGUAAGAAGGAACUCAACUAUGCUGAAACACGGGAGGUCAUCAUCACAUCAUGGUGACAAACAACUGGGAGGCCAGUGAGUGGCUGGGACUGAUCACUGCAGGCCUGCUGUGGGUGGACUUCAGGUGAGGAGGACAUGUUUUAAAACCUGAAAUUUUAGCAGGAUGGAAACUGCAUUUGUUAGAAAGUGUCGUCCUUCAGUCACACGUGUCCUUGAAUUUCCUGGAACAAUGUCACCAUUUCAUGUUGUCUUGGAAAAAAAUAUCUUAGCUAAAUUAAAUGUAUUUUAGAGAUGAUAGAGAUCACGAGUGCCCCUAACUGUAGCGUCUGAACUCUCAACCAUCAAUGCUGUUGUCCCCCAGAAGUGCAGAGGAGGAUGAAGAGCACUUUGACAUGUGUCUCAGGUCUCUAGAAGAGGAGAUCAUGUAUAAUGCGGGCCACCUACUGACGGUUGAAGAACCUCAGAAGGAGGUGGAGGAGCAGCCAGAGCCAAGAAAAGCCUGUCUGAAGAAGAAACCUGGCCGAGCCUUCUGUCAUUCUCUCUCCAAGCUCUACAUGCAGGACUCAGGUAGCCAUGGAAACAUUAACAAACACCACCAUUUGCCCAACAAUUCAACCAAAUUACUCUUACUUAGAGCAAUAUUGAUGAUUUAACAGAGGAUCCUUCCCAAUAUUCCCACUUUGGCUUUAAUAGAUGAUGAUAACUAAAAUCUUAUUUCAAAUUCUUCUCCAUCAUGCCUGGAACAUAUACUCACACCCACUUUAUUAGGUACACAUCUUUAAAUGAUUUACCAAAACCAGCCAGUUACAUGCCAGCAACUCAUCAACCUGCUGAAAUUCAAACCGAACACCAGAAUAAGGAAGAAAAGCGAUUUAACAGACUGUGAAUGUAGCAUGUCUGCUAGUGUCAGACAGGCUGGUCUACUGGGAUUUCCCCACACAACCAUCUCUAGAGUUUACAGAUGGUCCCAAAAAGAGAAAAUAAUGAGCGAGUGGCCGUUCUCUAAGUGAAGAUAUUUUCAGAGGCGAGCAGAUAAUGCAGACAGCUGCUGAAAGCAGAACCACAGUGGAGCUCAGCGAGUCCUGUGGAGAUCAGUGUUACUGGGAGGAGAUCAAGGGUGACGGCUGUAAGUACUACAGGAACGUCUUCACCCACGGAUACCUCGGUGAGUACACAAAACCCACCUCUACUGAACAAACGCAGGCAUGUGAAAAAUGUGGUCUUUAUUCAAAUGGAGCAUAAUAAACUUUCCAUGUCUGUACAACCGCCAAUUCUGCUGAAACAAUACAAGUUUUUUCUUUCUUGGCUAAAACUGCCAAACACUUUUCCUUUGAAGGGUUUGACUCGAGCAGGGAGCAGGUCCACUCUGAAGUCUGUCCUUCUGAAGGUGAAGA